GGCCUUAUAGUGUAGUGGUUAUCACGGCGGAUUCUGAUUCGAUAAUCUUCCGUCAACUCAGGUUCGAUCCCUGAUAAGGCCU